UACGUAGGGAGCGAGCGUUGUCCGGAUUUACUGGGCGUAAAGGGCGCGUAGGCGGUCUGUUAAGCGUGAAGUGAAAUCUCCAGGGCUCAACCCGGAAACUGCUUUGCGAACUGGCAGACUAGAGGAAGGUAGAGGUAAGUGGAAUUCCCGGUGUAGCGGUGACAUGCAUUGAUACCGGGAGGAACACCCAUGGCGAAGGCAGCUUACUGGACCUUAUCUGACGCUGAGGCGCGAAAGCGUGGGUAGCAAACAGGAUUAGAUACCCGGGUAGU
rnacentral:rRNA from 1 species